GGGGAUGAAGCUCAGUGGUAGAGUGCUUGCCUAGCAUGCAAGGAGACCUGCAUACAACCCCC
rnacentral:tRNA from 1 species